UGGACAGGGUGGGAGCUGUAAACAUCCCUGACUGGAAGCUGGGAGCACUUGCUGCGGCAGCUUUCGCCCGGAUGUUUGCUGCUGCCAUCUGUCAA
rnacentral:pre_miRNA from 1 species